AAAUUGAAGAGUUUGAUCAUGGCUCAGAUUGAACGCUGGCGGCAGGCCUAACACAUGCAAGUCGAACGGUAGCACAGAGAGCUUGCUCUCGGGUGACGAGUGGCGGACGGGUGAGUAAUGUCUGGGAAACUGCCUGAUGGAGGGGGAUAACUACUGGAAACGGUGGCUAAUACCGCAUAACGUCGCAAGACCAAAGAGGGGGACCUUCGGGCCUCUUGCCAUCAGAUGUGCCCAGAUGGGAUUAGCUAGUUGGUGAGGUAACGGCUCACCAAGGCGACGAUCCCUAGCUGGUCUGAGAGGAUGACCAGCCACACUGGAACUGAGACACGGUCCAGACUCCUACGGGAGGCAGCAGUGGGGAAUAUUGCACAAUGGGCGCAAGCCUGAUGCAGCCAUGCCGCGUGUAUGAAGAAGGCCUUCGGGUUGUAAAGUACUUUCAGCGGGGAGGAAGGUGUUGUGGUUAAUAACCACAGCAAUUGACGUUACCCGCAGAAGAAGCACCGGCUAACUCCGUGCCAGCAGCCGCGGUAAUACGGAGGGUGCAAGCGUUAAUCGGAAUUACUGGGCGUAAAGCGCACGCAGGCGGUCUGUCAAGUCGGAUGUGAAAUCCCCGGGCUCAACCUGGGAACUGCAUUCGAAACUGGCAGGCUUGAGUCUUGUAGAGGGGGGUAGAAUUCCAGGUGUAGCGGUGAAAUGCGUAGAGAUCUGGAGGAAUACCGGUGGCGAAGGCG
rnacentral:rRNA from 2 species